UUGCUCGGUCUGCAUUGUUUUGCAGGCCCAUCUUCUCGGCCCGCACCAUCUGGUUCUUAACGGCCCGUUUCUUCUUGAGCAUUCAGCCCGUUUCUUCUGUGGGCGGCUGAGCCGUGUCGUGCUGAUCGAUGUGCAGGCCCGGGGCCCCAGACUUCCCAUCGCCCCGUGUCCGUCCGUCCGUGCGUGCGUGCGGCCGGCGGCGCCCUGAUCGAUCGGCUGGCGCCACCGCCGGGUGAAGGUGGGGAGGCUGCGCCACCGCUCGGAGCAGCCCGGCCGCCGUGCAGGCCACCAACGACGACGCCGCGGCCAUCAAGAGGGUCACCUGUUUGAACUUCAUAUCAUCUGUGGUGUUAAUGAGUUCGUAUCUGGUCCGGUGCCCAGCGAGGGUGAGGAUGUUCGAGACUACAACCCAUGGACUUUUGGAAAAUAUUAUCACACCCAUAUCAAUUUUCUGGCAAUGUGCAAAGCCCGCCCAUAUGAUCCUCCAACGCUCUUCUUUGCUGAAUGUGGAAAACAUGGUGCUGACAUGUUGGUGUGUCCCCGUGAUUCCGCAGAAACCAGAAGCUAAACAAGUCCGUUGCAUUUACUGCGAGUUUGAAGGAAACCGAAUUGAUCAUCCAGCCGUGGAGAGUUUCUUCGGGCACAAUGAAUUUGAGAAGUUUUAUGAAUCAGGCACAUCUUAUACCAACAAUAAGCUCAUCAUACGUUGUGAAAACGUAGAUUGGGUGCAUGGUGUGGAGGAUGAUGGCAUAUACCACCACUGCUACCCUGAUCCUGAUGAUAUUGAUGACGAAGAACUAUCUAUUUGCUGAGUGUAGCAAGGGGGGUGGCAAAAGUGGCAUGGUAUCUUGUCAUGAUACUUUUCUUUCUUGUGAUGAAUUGUUACAAUGUAGUUCAAACAGACUAUCAUGCUCUUAUUUUGUAUUAUAAACAGUGCCAUCAUACCCUGUUGAACCUUAACGAUGAUCGUCCUCCCAUCACAUGAAACUCUGAAUGCCCAUGUUUGUAAUCAUUGUCAUCCUUCUCCGGCUAUGGAAAAUUAACGUGAUCAAGUGUGUGCUGAA